AGGAGGAACUAUCCCAGUGGCGGGGCCAGCUCUGGAGCCCUGGAGUCAGCUCCCGCAGUAACCCCAGAGCUCUCCGUCUGCAGGGCCUGGAGGCUCCGGGGCGGG
rfam:Canis lupus familiaris chromosome 14, whole genome shotgun sequence.